AAUAAGGUCUCCUUCUUCUGUUCUCCAGGCUGAACAACCCCAACUUUUCCAGCCUGUCCUCAUAGAAGUGCUCCAGCCUUCUGAUCUUCUUGGCCU